GGUGUAGGUGGUUUAUCAAGUCAGAAGUGAAAGCCCCGGGCUCAACCCGGGAAGUGCUUUUGAUACUGUUAAACUUGAGUGUAGGAGAGGAAAGUAGAAUUCCAGGUGUAGUGGUGAAAUACGUAGAUAUCUGGAGGAAUACCGGUGAGGAAGCUGGCUUUCUGGCCUAACACUGACACUCAGACCCGAAAGCGUGGGGAGCGAACAGGAUUAGAUACCCUGGUAGUCC
rnacentral:rRNA from 1 species